rnacentral:rRNA from 1 species
AACGUAGGAGACAAACGUUAUCCGGAGUUACUGGGCGUAAAGGGCGUGUAGGUGGUUUCGUAAGUCUGGCGUGAAAUUUUUCGGCUUAACCGGGAAAGGUCGUCGGAUACUGCGGAACUAGAGGACGGUAGAGGCGUGUGGAAUUCCGGGUGUAGUGGUGAAAUGCGUAGAGAUCGGGAGGAACAUCUGUGGCGAAGGCGACUGCCUGGACCAGCACUGACACUGAGGCACGAAAGCGUGGGGAGCAAACAGG